CCUACGGGAGGCAGCAGUGAGGAAUUUUGCGCAAUGGGGAAAACCUUAAUCAGCCACGCCGCGUGGGUGAAGAAGGCCUUUGGGUUGUAAAGCCCUGUCAGGUGGGAAGAAGUGUACCAUGGCUAAUAUCCAUGGUAAAUGACGGUACCUGCAGAAGAAGCCCCGGCU
rnacentral:rRNA from 1 species